rfam:Dendroctonus ponderosae Seq01021233, whole genome shotgun sequence.
AAAUCGGUCCUUUUCAGGACUACAAACAUUAUUUGUUGUUUAAUU